UACGGGGGGGGCAAGCGUUGUUCGGAAUUACUGGGCGUAAAGCGCACGUAGGCGGAUUUGUUAGUCAGGGGUGAAAUCCCGAGGCUCAACCUCGGAACUGCCUUUGAUACUGCAAAUCUCGAGUCCGGAAGAGGUGAGUGGAAUUCCUAGUGUAGAGGUGAAAUUCGUAGAUAUUAGGAAGAACACCAGUGGCGAAGGCGGCUCACUGGUCCGGUACUGACGCUGAGGUGCGAAAGCGUGGGGAGCAAACAGG
rnacentral:rRNA from 1 species